rnacentral:rRNA from 1 species
UACAAGGGAGACUAGUGUUAUUCAUAUUUAUUAGGUUUAAAGGGUACCUAGAUGGUAAAAAAAAAUGUAUAUUAGAAAAAUUAAACAUUUUUUUUAUACAUAUAUACUAGAGUUCUCAAAUAGAAGAGGUAGAUUUAGAACUGAAGGUGUAGAGAUGGAAUAUGCUGAUACCUUUAUGACUGGUAUGUGAAGACAAUCCUCUAUAUAUGAACUGACAUCAAGGGACGAAGGCAUUGGUAACAAUAAGG